rnacentral:rRNA from 1 species
AGUACGGAAACUGCUUAGAGGUUAAGCCCGAUGAACCUGAAUAUCCAUUAUUGGAAAAUUCAUCACUAAUGUUAUAAUAUAUAUUUUUUAUAUAUAUUUAUAAAAAUGGUGUGCAUUUUUUCCAUUAAAGGACAUUGUAAUCGGUUAAUAAAUUAAAAAUUUAUCAAAAUAUUCAUAAAAAGAGCUUAUUCUAAUUAAGUUUUUUAACGAAAAUUUAAAAUUGGAUAAAUUUUGUGGAUAUGAUAAAUUGUUGACCGAUUUAUUUAUAAAAUGUUAUAAAUUUCUUUGGAAAUUUAUACAAUAUUUAUUCAUGUAACUUACAUAUUUAUAUUUAUUGUAUACAUUUUUAUGAUUAACAAUGCUAUAAAUUCAGGAUACCUUCGGGACCCGUCUUGAAACACGGACCAAGGAGUCUAACAUAUGUGCAAGUCGUUGAGUAAUUUAAAUAAAACUCAAAGGCAUAAUUAACUUAACUGGUUUUCUUUUUAAGAAAAACAAUGGGAUUAGUUUAUAUAUAGAAAUUAUAAAUAAAUUCAAUCCCAGGGCGUUCUAUAUAGUUAUGCAUAAUGAUAUUUUAUAUUAUUUAUGUCCCUAACUG